UACGGAGGGUGCAAACGUUGCUCGGAAUUACUGGGCGUAAAGCGCGUGUAGGCGGGCCGGAAAGUCGGGCGUGAAAUCCCUGGGCUCAACCCAGGAACUGCACUCGAAACUUCCGGUCUAGAGUGGUGGAGAGGGAAGUGGAAUUCCUGGUGUAGAGGUGAAAUUCGUAGAUAUCAGGAGGAACACCAGUGGCGAAGGCGGCUUCCUGGACACCAACUGACGCUGAGACGCGAAAGCGUGGGGAGCAAACAGG
rnacentral:rRNA from 1 species